AUAGCAUAUAUACACGCGUCAAAAGAACCCUGAUGUAUUACCGAACCGAAGUUUCUUUGAGAAGUUUUCAAAUCAUCUUUUGGUCUACAAACUGAGAUAUAUUCUCUGCACAAAUGGAUUUCCGUCUGAAUGUUUGUCUGUUGUUGAUACUUUUCGUGGCAUUUUCUGAUGCUGAUGACCGUAAAUCUUCUCAAGUUCCAUGUUCAUUUGUGGGCGGUGUGUGUAUUCCUCCACGCCUCGUGUGUCCUCCAGGAUUCUAUCCAUGCCCUGAAUAUGUUUGUCCAGGAUUUGAACUUUGCUGUUGCCCAUUUUGAGGUAGAAAAUGAAGCUGGAAUAAUCUAAUUAAGCAGUUAUGAAAUGUAACUUGUCCGUUUACAUUGAUUAAUAAAGUGG